UAUUGUCAGUUUACUUUUAUUCUUUGUAUCUAACUGUCUAUUGCAGGGGAAUUCUAAUAUCCUGUUGGUUUAUUGCUAGGGUUCCAAGACUCGGAAAUGGAAACUUAUCGUUAGAAAUCUUCCUUUUAAGGCCAAAGUGGAUGAGAUAAAAGAUAUGCUUUCGCCGGUGGGGUUUGUUUGGGAUGUAUUUAUCCCACAUAAUCCUGAUACAGGAUUGUCCAAAGGUUUUGCGUUUGUCAAAUUCACAUGAAAA